AGCCACAGCUACUAAAUUAUGAUWUAAACUUAAUAGUAUUGUAGCCUAUAAUAAAGCUCUAGAUAAGAGCU
rnacentral:rRNA from 1 species